AUUGAACGCUGGCGGCAGGCUUAACACAUGCAAGUCGAGCGGAGAGAGGUAGCUUGCUGCUGAUCUUAGCGGCGGACGGGUGAGUAAUGCUUAGGAAUCUGCCUAUUAGUGGGGGACAACAUUUCGAAAGGAAUGCUAAUACCGCAUACGUCCUACGGGAGAAAGCAGGGGAUCUUCGGACCUUGCGCUAAUAGAUGAGCCUAAGUCGGAUUAGCUAGUUGGUGGGGUAAAGGCCUACCAAGGCGACGAUCUGUAGCGGGUCUGAGAGGAUGAUCCGCCACACUGGGACUGAGACACGGCCCAGACUCCUACGGGAGGCAGCAGUGGGGAAUAUUGGACAAUGGGCGGAAGCCUGAUCCAGCCAUGCCGCGUGUGUGAAGAAGGCCUUAUGGUUGUAAAGCACUUUAAGCGAGGAGGAGGCUACUUUAGUUAAUACCUAGAGAUAGUGGACGUUACUCGCAGAAUAAGCACCGGCUAACUCUGUGCCAGCCGCCGCGGUAA
rnacentral:rRNA from 1 species